rnacentral:rRNA from 1 species
GACGAACGCUGGCGGCGUGCUUAACACAUGCAAGUCGAACGGAAAGGCCCUGCUUUUGUGGGGUGCUCGAGUGGCGAACGGGUGAGUAACACGUGAGUAACCUGCCCUUGACUUUGGGAUAACUUCAGGAAACUGGGGCUAAUACCGGAUAGGAGCUCCUGCUGCAUGGUGGGGGUUGGAAAGUUUCGGCGGUUGGGGAUGGACUCGCGGCUUAUCAGCUUGUUGGUGGGGUAGUGGCUUACCAAGGCUUUGACGGGUAGCCGGCCUGAGAGGGUGACCGGCCACAUUGGGACUGAGAUACGGCCCAGACUCCUACGGGAGGCAGCAGGGGGGAAUAUUGCACAAUGGGCGGAAGCCUGAUGCAGCAACGCCGCGUGCGGGAUGACGGCCUUCGGGUUGUAAACCGCUUUCGCCUGUGACGAAGCGUGAGUGAAGGUAAUGGGUAAAGAAGCACCGGCUAACUACGU